rnacentral:rRNA from 1 species
UUGAGGUGGAUUCACCAUCCGGCAGGCUUUCGCCAUUGCUUCUGCUGCACUCAUCAUCAUGCUGGCUCUGGACAUUGCUCUCACUGCAUGCAUCACCAUGUGGACUGUCAGUGUUAUAAGGAGCAUUCUCACUGAUAUUGGCGGUAAGUGGUGAUCUUGGAGACUGUUGAUCUGAUACUGACUCUGGGAAUCUCAUCCACAGGUCCGAAUUCAGUACUCCUAGAAAAGGUAAUUACUAUUGCUUCCUCCAC